UGCGGAUAAAUUUUGUUACAGUUGCAUUUUGAAUUGGACUAAAGUAGUUGCUGGCAAGCAUUCUCACGCACCUUCUUCUGUAAAAUGUCCUUUAUGCAAGAUAGAAAACUGUUCAAUAAUUUAUGGAUACGAUGGAAGUUCAUUCCAAAGGCAGUAUAUAAAUGAUAGUUUUGAGCUUAGUUCUUUCUUUUCAAAAGCUCACAAGUAUAGAUUAAAAUGCUAUUAUGCUGAACCAGGUUCUCUAC